UAUGACACAUGAGCUGCUGCAAACGUUAG
rnacentral:sRNA from 1 species